rnacentral:rRNA from 1 species
CUUGGGUCUGGGAUAACCCCGGGAAACUGGGGAUAAUACCGGAUAACGCAUAUAUGCUGGAAUGCUUUAUGCGUAAAAUGGAUUCGUCUGCCCAAGGAUGGGUCUGCGGCCUAUCAGGUAGUAGUGGGUGUAAUGUAUCUACUAGCCUACAACGGGUACGGGUUGUGAGAGCAAGAGCCCGGAGAUGGAUUCUGAGACAUGAAUCCAGGCCCUACGGGGCGCAGCAGGCGCGAAAACUUUACAAUGCGGGAAACCGUGAUAAGGGGACACCGAGUGCCAGCAUCAUAUGCUGGCUGUCCAGAUGUGUAAAAUACAUCUGUUAGCAAGGGCCGGGCAAGACCGGUGCCAGCCGCCGCGGUAACACCGGCGGCCCGAGUGGUGAUCGUGAUUAUUGGGUCUAAAGGGUCCGUAGCCGGUUUGGUCAGUCCUCCGGGAAAUCUGAUGGCUCAACCAUUAGGCUUUCGGGGGAUACUGCCAGGCUUGGAACCGGGAGAGGUAAGAGGUACUACAGGGGUAGGAGUGAAAUCUUGUAAUCCCUGUGAGACCACCUGUGGCGAAGGCGUCUUACCAGAACGGGUUCGACGGUGGGGGACGAAAGCUGGGGGCACGAACCGGAUUAGAUACCCGGGUAGUCCCAGCCGUAAACGAUGCUCGCUAGGUGUCAGGCAUGGCGCGACCGUGUCUGGUGCCGCAGGAAGCCGUGAAGCGAGCCACCUGGGAAGUACGGCCGCAAGGCUAAAACUUAAAGGAAUUGGCGGGGGAGCA